rnacentral:rRNA from 1 species
AGCAGCCGCGGUAAUUCCAGCUCCAAUAGCGUAUAUUAAAGUUGUUGCAGUUAAAAAGCUCGUAGUUGAAUUUCGGGAUCAAUACGUCGGUCGUGCUUCGGUACGUACUGGCGUAAUUGAUUUCUCCCUUCUGACGAACCAUGAUGUCAUUAACUUGGUGUCAUGGGAAAUCAGGACUGUUACUUUGAAAAAUUAGAGUGUUUAAAGCAGGCUCACGCUUGAAUACAUUAGCAUGGAAUAAUGAAAUAGGACGUUCGAUCCUAUUUUGUUGGUUUCUAGGAUUGACGUAAUGAUUAAUAGGGAUAGUUGGGGGCAUUAGUAUUCAAUUGUCAGAGGUGAAAUUCUUGGAUUUAUUGAAGACUAACUACUGCGAAAGCAUUUGCCAAGGAUGUUUUCAUUAAUCAAGAACGAAAGUUAGGGGAUCGAAGACGAUCAGAUACCGUCGUAGUCUUAACCAUAAGCUAUGCCGACUAGGGAUCGGAUGAUGUUAAUUUUUAAUGACUCAUUCGGCGUCCG